rnacentral:tRNA from 1 species
GCCAGUGUGGCAUAGUGGCUUGAGUAUCGGACUAUGACUCUGGAGACCAGGGUUUGAAUCCCAGCUUGGCCA